ACAACAUUCAACGUCGGUCUACCGAGCAAUAUCACCGGCUCGAUGGAGGGUCUUCUCUUUAUCUG
rnacentral:pre_miRNA from 1 species